rnacentral:rRNA from 1 species
GACGAACGCUGGCGGCGUGCUUAACACAUGCAAGUCGAACGGUGAAGCUCCAGCUUGCUGGAGUGGAUCAGUGGCGAACGGGUGAGUAACACGUGAGCAACCUGCCCCUGACUCUGGAAUAAGCGCUGGAAACGGCGUCUAAUACUGGAUACGAGAAGGGUCCGCAUGGGCACUUUCUGGAAAGUUUUUCGGUUGGGGAUGGGCGCGCGGCCUAUCAGCUUGUUGGUGAGGUAAUGGCUCACCAAGGCGAAGACGGGUAGCCGGCCUGAGAGGGCGACCGGCCACACUGGGACUAAGGGACGGCCCAGACGCCUACGGGAGGCAGCAGUGGGGAAUAUUGCACAAUGGGCGAAAGCCUGAUGCAGCGACGCCGCGUGAGGGAUGACGGCCUUCGGGUUGUAAACCUCUUUCAGCAGGGAAGAAGCGAAAGUGACGGUACCUGCAGAAGAAGCACCGGCUAACUACGUG